AUUCCGACGAGCAUAUAUAUACUGCAUUGAUGAGUAAAGGCAUUGCCAGACAGCACCAGAUAAUCCAAAAUACUCAACAAGGCUGCCAAAAAGCUCACCAUUUGGGGAAUUAUCAGUUGAAUUUUGAGUAUAAAAAUUAGGUAAGGGGCUCCUCCGUUCCCACCUGACCCUUUCAUUUCUGGCCUUUCCAAUGAGCUCCAUAGUUGAAAGGAGUAAAGCCACAAAUGCCAUCACCAUACCCAUUAACGCAUAACCCAAUUGGUCAAAAAUUGCAGAUAAACCCUCCAGAAGCAAGCUUGUAAUUAAUAAUGCCCACUCUAUUGUCUCCUUUUUUGCUCUGAGAUCUGAUAUGCAACGUUGACCUCUAUUGAUGCGAGAAAUCUUCCAGGGAACCUCUUCUCGAAUCUCAAUCUGCAAAGGAUUCACCUCACCUAUCACUGUCAACUGUUCCGAAUUUAUGUCUACCGUCACAUUCUUGACACCUUCAUGAAGAUACUCAGGUUGAUAUGUGACACUAGUAGUAACAUUAGCCCCAUGGCCAUGUUCAUUAGGUUGGUGCCCAAAUGAAUGAUACAAUCCGCUACCUAGCACCACCACUUCACUGCUGCUGUUGUCCCCAUUCUUCCUCCAACCUAUAAACAACCUCUCACUGUCCGUUGGGUGUUGCUCAAACAAAAUGAUAUCUCCUGCUUUGAGUUGUUUCUUCUUCACAAACCUCAUCCACCCUUUUGUCAAUACAUAGCUUUGGCUUUUGUUCCAAUAACAAUACCUGAACCUCCAACUCUUGCCUAACUCGUCCUCGAAAGUUAACAUUUUAUCAACCGAGUCAUCGAGGAGUGGGAAACAUUUAUCUGCAUACUGUUUUGGUAUUACUAAACGGUUUAGCUUCCCAACGUCACUUGGGGUUAACGUUUUCUCGAACAUGGGUUCUUUUUCCAGUUCUUGGUGANNNNNNNNUCUUGGUGGUUGAGUGGUUCUUCUUUAGGGUCUUGCUCUUCGUCCUUGUGGCUGUUCUUCAUUCUUGACCAAAUAUUUCUUUAGCACUAUUUUUGGCAGUAGUGCUGUGGGCUUCUUUAUGGCUACUGUUAGGAUUAUUGGACUUAUCCUUAUCUCCUCC
rnacentral:misc_RNA from 1 species